UUUUCCGCUCUCCCUUCCCUCCCAAGGUUUGAAGCAACUGAGGCCAGGGUCACCUUUGAUAGGCAUUCAAAAAUUAUUUUUAGGAAUAAAUGAAUAGUUUCACAGAAACUUUUCAGAAACCCAUCACAGUACCCAGUGUUAUGGUAUGCUUAGAGUCUGGGCAUAAAAAACACUUUUUGAUUGAUUUGCUAGAUUACCAGAUACUGGACCAAGCUUCAAUUUUCUUAGCAGAUCCAGGCAGAACUCCAUUUUAAGUGGCAUAAUCAUAUAGGCACGUUUUGUUCCUCUGAAAUGUAACUUCUACCAAUGAUAAAAUACAAAUACACCAAUUAAAAGGAAAAAAACUCAUUAUCCCUAUGACCUAAAAGCCUCCCACCCCUUUUCUCCUCCCUCUCCCUUGCUUUCCCUCCUUCCCUCCUCUCUCUCUCUCUCUCUCUCUCUCUCUCUCUCUCUCACACACACACACACACACACACACACUACUUUUCACAAUCCAGCUGUAGGUCCUAGAAGAGUGUUGAACACAGAAGAUGCUCAAUGGCUAAAAUUUUUUUAAACGUUUACCUAUUUUUGAGAGAGAGAGAGAGAGAGACAGAGCGUGAGCUGGGGAGAGGCAGAGAGAGAGAGAGACACAGAAUCCGAAGCAGGCCCCAGGCUCCUGGCUGUCAGUGCAGAACCCCACUCGGGGCUCAAAUCCAUGGAUGGGGAGAUCAUGACCUGAGCCAAAGUCAGAUACUCCACUGACUAGCCACCCAGGCGCCCCCCAGUGGCUAUUUUAAAAAUGACUAGACGUUGGGGCGCCUGGAUGGCUCAGUGGGUUAACCAUCUGCCUCUUGAUUUCGGCUCACAUGAUUUCAUGGUUCCUGAGACUGAGCCCCAUGUUGGGCUCUGUGCUAACAGCACAGAGCCUGCUUGGGACUCUUUCUUUCCUUCUCUCUCUUUGCUCCUCCCCUGCUCACACAUGCACUGUCUCUCCCUCUCUCUCAAAAUAAAUAAACUUAAAUGAAUAGAAGGCACCCACUCUUUUCACUGCUUAAUUUCUGGAGUAAGUGUUAUAACCUUGCAGCCUCCAUUUAUUCCGUUUGUUCUUGAACUCCUAUCAAUAGCAUUUGUUCUCUUGCCACUCCACUGCUGUUAUUCUCUUGAAGGCCACCAAUGACCGAAUUACAAAACCUAAUGGAAUUAUCUCGGUCUUCCUCCUGCCUGACUUCAUUAUGGUGUUUGGUAUUGUUUAUCAUUCUGAAAUGUGAUGUAAUUGAAAAAGCAUGCGUUUUAAAGCAGAGAGACCCUAGUUUACAUAUUUUUGAGUUUUAUUUAUUCUGAGACAGAGAGAGGCAGGACUUGAACUCGGAACGGUGGGAUCAUGACCUGAGCCGAAAUCAAGAGUCGGACACUUAACUGAUUGAGCCACCCAGGCUCCCCAAGACCCUAGUUAAAAUAUAUAUUUUUUUUAAUUAAACAAAAUUUUUUAUUUAAGAGGGAGAGAAAGACAGAGUGGGGGAGGGGCAGAGGGAGAGAGAAUCCCAAGCAGGCUCCAUGCUGCCAGCACAGAGCCUGAUGCGGGGCUGGAACCCACAAAACCAUGAGAUCACGACCUGAGCCAAAACUAACAGGACACCCAACUGACUGAGCCACCCAGGCACCCCCGCCAAACCCUAGUUUAAAUGUGUGCCCAUCUACCACUUGCUAGCGUGGGUAAGUCACCUUUUAACAUCUCUUGUCACGGGGCACCUGGGUGGCUCGGUCAGUUUAAGCAUUAGACUCUUGAUUUCGGCUCAGGUCAUGAUCUCAUGGUUGGUGAGAUCUAGCCCCACACCGGGCUUUGUGCUGACACUGUGGAUCCUGCUUGGGAUUUCUCUCUCUCUCCAUAUCACUCAAACCCCUCCCCAACUCACUCUCAUGUCCUCUCUCUCUCUCUCUCUCAAAAUAAGUAGAUAAAUAUUUUUAAAAUUUUUUUCUUUUAAAACAAAUAAAUAUUCAAAAUAAAAUAAAAUCUCCUAUCAUCCUAAAAUGGAGUUUUGAUGUCUAUUUCUCAGAGUGGGUGGGAGGGUUAAAUGGAAUUUUGUGAACACUUAGCCCAGUGCCUGGCUUGCAGUAGGCAUUCAAUAAAUGUUGGCUCCUUUCCUCCCUGACUUCCGAAUCAUCCCUCAUUCUUGGUUUUCUUCCAAUCUACAUCUCUGAAUAGAUCUUCAUAAGGCUUUUCUUGCUUGCUCACCUCUUAUUCUAUGUUUUUUUCCUGUCCUAUUUCAGAUCUUCUCCAUCUUUUACCCAAACUGUUUGCCGUGCGUUUUGUUGACAUUCCAAAAUAGGGAAUGUUUAGAAUAAUAGUCUCCAAAUUGGUCUCUGUGUAUCCAAUGUUUCGCUCCUCCAGUACAUAUUUCGCAGUCACUAGAAUCGAUGUUCCUCAAAUACAGAUUGAUAGACUCACUCCCUCCCUGCCCCCCCCAAAAACUUGAAUAGCAUCCCUGUGUUUAAAGAAUAAAAUCUACAUGAAAUCAUUAUUGCACUAUAUGCUAACUAACUUGGAUGUAAAUUAAAAAUAAAUUAGUUUUAGGGGUGCCUGAGUGGCUCAGUUGGUUGAGCAUCCAGGUCACGAUCUCACAGUUCGUGGGUUCCAGCCCUGCGUCGGGCUCUGUGCUGACAGCUUGGAGCCUGGAGCCUGCUUCAGAUUCUGUGUUUCCCUCUCUCUCUGCCCCUCAUGUGCUCACACUCUGUCUCUCUCUCUCAAAAAUAAACAUUAAAAAAAAUUUUUUUUAAAUAAAUCAAUUCAAAAAAAACCUUUAAAAGAAGAAAAAAAAGAAUAAAAUCCAAACUUUGAACACUUACCAUUUUGAUUGUUAUUUAUCCUUUCCUUUAUGUCCUUCCAUAUGCCCUGACUUAUCUCUGCCUAUUUUCAAAACCCUUCAUGAGUUUUUACUCCUCAGUGCCUUUACUACAACCUUUGCUUUAUUCCAUAAUGGCCCAUUCUUCUUUUCUAUUGAAAUUCAUACUUUGUCUUUUUAAAAAUUUUUUUUUAAUGUUUAUUAUUUUUGAGAGAGUUAGAGAGACAGAGAGCAAGCAGGGAAGGGGCAGAGAAGGAGGGAGACACAGAAUCGGAAGCAGGCUCCAGGCUCUGAGCUGUCAGCACAGAGCCCGACGCGGGGCUCGAACUCACAGACUGGGAGAUCAUGACCUCAGCUGAAGUCAGCCGUCCAACCGACUGAGCCACCCAGGGGCCCCCAUACUUUGUCUUAAAUACCAAUUCCUUCACGGAGCCUGCCCAGAUCACCUUUUUCCUUCUAGUUAAAAUUUAUCAAUCUUUCGACUCAUACUUUGUUUGCACUUAUAUUUUGCACUUAAUUUAUUCUGCCUUGCUCUACGGGGUGCCCCGUGCACAAACCGUGUCUUAUUUGUCUUGCUAUAUUCCUAGCACUUAGUAAGGAACCUCACACAGCGCUCUAGCUUAAAUACUUACAGAGUUAAACUGAGUUGAAAGCACGAAUAGUCAUGCUUCCUAACGAGGGUGUUAUAAAGGGACUUAAUUCAGCAUAAAAAGGGCUAACAUUUAUAGACUGCUUACUAUGUGCCAAGCACUUUUCUAAGUGCCAUAUUCUGUUUGAUGCUCACGACAACCCAGGAGAGAGAUGGUAUUAAUUGCCUUGAUUUUACAGGCGAGGAAGCCGAGAUGGAGAAAUUAAAUAACCUACCCCCAAAGCAAACAGCUGUGAAAUGGUGGAAAGGGACCUAAAGCUCAGAUAGCAUCCCUGGGGCCUGUGCACCUAAUCAUUAGGUUAUAUUGCCAGUCGCAUUUGGCACUUCCAAGGAAAGCGGUGGAAGGUCCAGAGCAUGCCACCUGCAAGGACAGCAAGGAGACAGGGUGACGUCAGGAAGUCUCUUCCGGCCUUGGUUUGCACAAAGACCGCCCUUGAAAGCCUUAGAGGACAAGAGAUGAUGUCUGUGUGUGCCUUGGUAUCCCAGUUUCAAGAACACAGGCAGCCAACCGUUGUGCAAACCAUUCUUCUUUGACUCCUAAGCCUUUUGAUGAGCAAUUAAACUAGGGAGGCUUAUCUGGCGACAGUCCUCCUGAGGUGACGUCAUUGUUCACCCUGGCCCCUGCCAAAGGUUAGCUAGCGGAAGCGCUCUGCCAAGCUUAUGCAUUCCUCAUGGCUGAGAGGCCUCGCCAGCACCCUGUCCUCAGGAACUGAGACUCCAUACAAGUCUCGUGGCAUUUUCUUCCUUUUCCUCAGAAGGAGAUGCUGGACGUGGUGGCUGGCCGACUGUGGUUUUAUUUAGAUUGUGUUCAGCCCACACGCUCUGCCCUCCUCUGACCACACAGAUCCCGUGUGGUUUCUUCUGCCUUCUUCAGUAGCUAGCUUCUGCACGGAGGAAAUGAGGUAGGGAUUGGGGAAGGGAACAGAACCCAUAUACCAGGAGGGGUUGAAGCCCGUUCUUUCCAAUUCUUGCUCCCGUCUCCCCAUUCCAGGCUCCUUGUCCUAUCACCACCCUAGCGAUGAGUCCCUGAUACAUUUCACCAUGCAAUGCCGUUUGUAGGUUUUGGGGAGGUGUUUAGUAUUCAGUAAUAAAAUGUCUGGGAUCAGAAAUGCAUCACUUCAAAUGGACUUUGUUUUAGGCAUAAUUACAAUGUUUUUAUUUUUUUUAAUGUUUGUUUUUGAGAGAGAGAGAGAGAGAGAGAGAGCACACAUGCGUGCGUGUGCGCGGGGGAGGGGCAGAGAGAGGGAGAGGGAGACAGGAUCUGAAGCAGGCUCCAGGCUCCAAACUGUCAGCACAGAGCCCUAUGUGGGGCUCGAGCCCACGAGUCCUGAGAUCAUGACCUGAGCUGAAAUCCAACGCUAACCGACUGAGCUACCCAGGCGUCCCUGAACUGCUUUUUUUUUAAACAGAGAGAAUCUGGGGGCUCACAGAUCCAGAUGGUGGGGUGGGGACCCUCUCUUUCCUGCCACUGCCUCUAACUAAGCUCCAGUUACCUUUAACGAUGUUCAGAGAAAGCCAUUCUCUCCAUCCUUGCUCAUACAUUCCAGUCCCUAACUGGAUUCACUCUCAGUAGAUGUUAAUCAUCCACCCCGAAUCUCCCCGCACUGAGAGCCUCACUCCCUCUUGCUCAGCCACAGAAGGAGAGCCGGAGAGUAAGGUCUGCCGUCCCGCACUUUGUAUUUGGAGAUAGAUAAUAACCCUGCGCCGCAGCAUCCUUGACAUUUCUGUCAGAUUUCCAGCUUCUCUGGUAUUAACAGGGUCUACUUCACGUAUACCUGUUGCUUGCUUCUUGCUUCAUUCCCUUGUGAUGUGGGCCAGCCCUUGGGUUUGGUUGUUCUCAUGUUGUGUAGGAGACAGACUCCACUUCCCAGCCUUGAGGAUGGGGACCGUCUGGCUUGUGGUGGCAUUACUGGAGGGGACGCUCCUGCCUCCCGCCUGUGAGUUGCCUACCCCUGGCAUCCCCGGGGGGCAGGUGGGACGGUGCGUCUGUGGGCGCCCUGCGCCUGCCCCUUCUAUCCCACGCUCACUUGGAUGUGCACCCAGGAGAAAUCUAGCCUCACAGCUACUAUUUUUCGCUUAGGUUCUCUCCUGACGUUUUGGCCGAAGAGCGGACUAUAGUUAGUGGGCCUCCAGAAGUAAUAGACAGCUGUUGGGUGUCUUGUGGCUGCAGGAGAAGGGAGCCUGAGCAGCUGAACAUAAACAACAGUUGCUUGGUAAUAUGAGCUCCUUUCAUUUAAAGUCAGAGGCCUGGCUGCUGGUGGGGGAAGGGAGGCCAGGUUGUUCUGGCCGGCACCUGUCUGGGAGGCCAGAGUACCAGAGAGUCUGCUGAGAGCCAAAUAUGGGAGAGAGGUGGUGAGGGGGAGGCCUGCAGAGGAGAGCAGGGGCUCAGGUUCUGGAGCGCUGGGUGGAAACUCUGGUCCUGACGCCCUGCCACCAGCUGCUUUGGGAAAUUGUGUUUCAAGAUUUCGAGCUUCCAUUUUCCCACUUGUAAAAUAACCGAGGGAGUUGAAGAGCAGCAUAGAGCUCCGGGAUAUACCCAGCUGACAUCAGGGCUGGUAAAAUUCUGGUGCCACAGGGAGCCCCUUGCCAGAGUUGAUGCAGUUGGUGAGAUUCCGGUGGCCUCUAAUGGGCUUGAGAAGACCUAGGUCCAAGUUCUGGCUUUCUCAUUGAUUGUCGUCAUUGUUACUUAUCUGUGACCUUGAAUAAAGUUCUGCCUCGCUCCUAGGUCGCUGGGAAGAUCAACUAUUACGCAUGAAAGUCCUUUACAAAAGUGUAAGGGUUACUACACGACAAAAGACACAGGAUGCUGAAGAGACUCAAAGGGCGGAGACACUUGGUUCUUCCCUCAACAUGCCAGUAGUCUUAACAGUAAUGAUGGCUCGCCUUUGAAGGAGAUUUUGUUUCUCAAAGCAGUUCCCUAUUUAUCGUCUUACUCAAUAGGGCCAUAGGAAAAAGUAAACAGAAACUGAGGGCGAGGGGCGGGGUUACGGGGGGGGGGCGGAGGAUGUGUUUUGAACAGGCUUUUAGUGGGUGACAAGGUUAUGACUUCAAGGAAAGAAGUGGGGAAGGGACUACCGGUGGAAAUAAGCAAGGACAGGGCUAGGGACUCGAGGUACUCAGGGUAUCUGCUUCUGAGCCAAGGGCAACCAUUUCAGUUUUAGUUUGAAGGAGGUUUGCCCUCAGGCCAGGUGACAAAUGUAAAUGAUCGUUCUCAACCACUGCUGUGCCCAGGCUUAAAUCAAAUCUCCUAGGAUUUUAGAUUUUAGGCCCAGAAUCUAUCGUGGGUGGGAAAAGUGGCUGCAGUGUGUGGGAAGAGGGAGCUUGGUGACUUUAAUGCCUUUUAAGAGGCAUCCAUUUAAAUUUAGAAUGCUCCUGAUAAACUGCAAGGAUCCUGCUCCCCUUGUGAGUCUCUCUCCCCGCCAGGUACCCAUCAAAUCCUUUAGCCCCAUCCCUCCUGUUUUUGUUUGCUUGCUUGUUUUGUCUUGUGUGGCUUCCAAGUGAGGGGUGGUGUUGUACCUUCUUCCCUCCCUGAGACCCCAGUCUCUUACUUCAGCAGGCCCCUCAACAGGCAGGUUCCUUGCAGUGGGAAGUUAUCAGAUCCCCUGCAAAGCACUUGUCCUUGGAGGAAGUCCAAGGCAGUGAGCAACUCUGGCGCCUUGGCUGAACUCCGGAUCCCCAAGUUUGAAGUUGCUGUCCAGACUCCUCAGCAAUCCUGGAGCCAGAGGAAGUGUUUGUUCCUUGCCAGGCUUGACACCUGAGGGCGGGGGUUUCUCCUUUCUAUGCCACGUCCGGGAGUUAAAAUAGAUUGCUUCCAAACCACCUUUGAGUGAGCCAGUGACCGGAUGUGGGGAGUCCGAAAUAAGACGAGCUGAUGUUCCAGGGAGUCAUCAUUUACAGGUGGGCCUGGCCUUGGCUUUUUGGCCCAGGGGAAAACUUACUUCCCUCAGUUUCCUGGCCUCUUGGAGCUGGUGCGGUGUCUGAAUGCCUUGAGCUUCCCUCCAUGGGUCAUUCCCGGGCAUCAUGGACCUGUGGCCAGUUGUCAGACCAUGCUUGGUGUCUUGCUGAACUGCAGGGGUGUGUUUUCUUGCGGUGAGUUCUUGUAGUCUUUGGGAAUGUGAUUUUGCCUCAGCUUUGGGACACUCAUGCCAUGUUCCCGAGACCUUCACCCUGGUAGGGAAGCUGGGUGUCCGCUCCUCACUGGAUCUUGGACUCAUAGACAGGGGCGGGGAAGAAUAGGUGAAUCGCUUUGUGGAUUUAACGGUGCAUUCGUCUGUGCUCCUUUUGGUCUACUUGAAAGCUACUGUCUCUACUUUGCAGAGAGGCCAAUAGUGGAGAGGCAUAUGUGCUGGGCUGGAAGGGAGAAUGGACCAUACAAACAAGCCUCUGUUGUUGAAGCUGGGCUGGUUUCCUGAGUGCCCCAAUAAAGUGGAUCAACUUUAGGGCCAGUGUCUUAGGGCUGUAGGUACCUGGGUCUAGGGAGUGAAUGGGUCAGCAUAUCUUCAGACACUGUCAGGGCUGAUUCACUUUCUUAGGUUCCAUGACCUGGGGAUAUCCUAGACUUUUUGUGACCCAGUCCAUGCCCCUUGCAGGUUGAAGCAGAACUGAAACAUCCUCCAGGAACGCAACUCCCAGGGGCCUUGCUGAAUGCUUUGCCUUCUGGGUGCUCACCCUCCUCUCACUUGAUUUUUGUGCUAGGGGUGGGGCUAUGGUAUGGACAGGGUCGCUCAAGAUCUAGAAGGAUCAGUCCCUCUUCCUUACUGGUCCUGUGUGUCCUAUGUCUCUCACAUCCUAUUGUCUGUGCUUCUUUGGUAUGUCGUGUCUGCUGUCCUCAGCUUACUCCACAGGAGAAACGUUCUCUCUUCUCAGCUUGUCGUUUUGGAAGCAGCCUCUGGGAACCUUGCUGUCACCCUUUGUCACCCAGCUUUCCUGUGCACCUACCUGCACCCCCAAAUAAUUCAGAGAAAGCACUUUUUUUAGAAGACAUCCAGCGGAAAAGCCCCCGCCUUUUCCCUCAACCCUAUGUCUUGGGUGGCCAUGGAGAGUGAGGACUGAAUUCCCGGAUUCCUCCGUUCCCCUUUUCCCCUCCCCCCCCUUCCCCCAAAGAAAAAGCUGGGCGUUAGACUGAUGAGAGUUGCCCGGCCAAUCAUUGCUUUGAGAAAGUUUGGUUUGUGAUCCUGUUUCAUUAGGCUGAUUGGAGCAGCCUUUACUCAGAGGUAGAGUCCCUCCCCAAGGGAUUCCGGGUACAGUUACCCUAGCCGUCGCUGGCUGUGCAUGCCCUUUCUGGACAGAAAUGACCUCCCCUCCCCUCCCCUCCCUCCUAGUCCCCCCUCGCCCCCCCUCCUCCUUUUUUGUUUUUAUCUAGUGUCUCGCUUCCUCUCUCUCUCUCUCUCUCCCUCUCUCCCCUUCUCCCUCCUGCUCUCCGUCUCCCUGCAGCGCCACGCCGGCUCCCCAGCCCGGUCGGCCGAUCGCGAGCCGCUGAGAGUUUGCCGAGCCGCCCCCCUGGGGCCCCGCGCCGCCGAGUCCCGCUAAGGCGAAGACGCAAGCAGGCCGGGGAGAGCGCGGAAGAAAAACAAGCGGGCGCGCCGCGGGAGCCCCAGGAGGGCGGCCGGGUGGCGGCGGAGGGCGGACGGGGCGGGCCGGCGCCGACGGCCGGGGGAGCGCGCACGGGAAAGUUCGGCCCCGGCGGCCGCGCGCCUGCCUCGCGGCGCUCCGGGAGAGGAACUUGCCCUCCGCGCGGCUCGAGCGGCGAGCGUUUCCCACCCGAGAGCCGGCCGAGCGCGCCGCGGCCGGGGGUGGGCGGCGAGGCGGCUGGCGGAGGGCGCCGAGCGAGCGCGGACGCCGCGGGCCCCCAUGCCGGCGGCCAACAUGCUGGAGAACCUGCAGCCGCCCGCCCUGCAGGUGCCCGAGCCGCAGGGCGCGCCCGAGGGCAGCCCGCUCUGGUCCAGCUCGUCGACCCCCACGCUCCGCCGCCGGCGCUUCAAGAUGCGCCGCAUGAAGAACGUGCAGGAGCAGAGCCUGGAGGCCGGGCUGGCCCGGGACCUGCCCGGCGUCUUGGCCCCCGGCAAGGAGUUCCUGCAGCUGCCGUCCAUCGAGAUCACGCCCUCCAGCGACGAGGACACCCCGUGGUCCAACUGCUCCACACCCAGCGCUUCCCCGCGCCGAAAGCGCUUCCUCCUCCGCAAGUGGCUCAGGGUGAGGGAGCGCAAGGAGUGCAGUGAAAGCAGGUGUAGAGGAAGGCAGAUCUUUUAAGUGAUGGCUUGAUGGAUUAGAAGAAGAUGUGUAUAUGUGCAGAAAAAGACGGACUCCGGAUUCAAACUCACAUUGGUGUCACUCCAGUCUCUACUCUUAGCCACUAUUACACUGCCUCCUAUUGGCAUCUCUGGAUCUUGGCAAAGACAAGGACCCCAUCACAUGUAGGCCUUAGAAGCGGAAGGCUUCUUGGAGAGAAAAGAAGCAUUCGAGUGAAUAGGUGCUUGGGGAUGCCCAGCAGGAUUCCCUGAGAAGGAGUUGGCAUUUGGAAACAGUAGAGCAGAGAGACUAUUGGACGCGAAGUCAGGAGACUUCAGUUUACAUGAAGAAAGAAGUGGAGAAAUUGGUAAAGUUAGUGUGGAAAAGCACCUUGGAGGACAGUACUGAAAUAACCCGCGUCCAGUUUUGUCUGGUUCCCCUUUGUAUCUUUGCCGUCUAGCACCGCACUUGGCCUUGUAUGGUGACCCGUGCAUGUUCGUUGAUGAAUAAAUUAAAAAUGAGUGAAUGAAUGAUUCUUUCUGUCUCUGCUGUUUGGAAUGGAAUUAUCUUUAUUCAUGAGUCAGGGAGAGUUUCCUGGAGGGGAUGACUUCAGAGCUGAGGUUUUUUUCCUGUGACAGCUUUAUUGAGAUGUAAUUUACAUACCAUACCAUUCACUCAUUUAUAAAGUAUACGUUUUGGUGGUUUUUAGCAUAUUCAUACAUAGGCACCACAGUCCAUUUUAGAACAUUUUCGUGACCCCAGAAAGAAACCCGUAUGCUAUACGUACCACCCUCAGUCCUCCUAUUCCUCAUCCCCCCAGCCCCAGGCGGCCACACAUCUGCUUGCUGUGGAGAGCAGUUUUGAAUAGGAACCAGAUGCUUGUUGGUGAGAGCAGUUUGGGGGUGUUGACAGCAGGAAUGGACGGCCAAGAGAGUGGUCUCGAUGAGGGAUGUGGAAAAUGAAGUGGUGACCUGAUGGGCUGGCAGACUUGCUUUAUGCAGAAGAGGUUGAAUUUCAGUUUAUCAGUCAGCCAACAAACAUGUACUGAGAUCCCAUGGACAUUGUGCUUUAUAUACAGAGAAGAUUCACCUCCGUGGGAGACGCUGUAGGUUCUGGAACCAGGGAGAGGUGUGCAGAGUGGUAUUUGAGGCAACUAAUUCUUGCUACUUGGCAGGGGGGGUGGGGGGGGAACCCAGUGGGGAGGUAGAGGCCGAGCCUUGCACUGUUUUUCCAGUGGUCUGACUGGAAAUGGUCUUAGCCACCACCAUUUAAGGGAAGAUGGCACUUUUUUUUUUUUUUGUGCUGGCCAUGUCCCCUUCUGGGCUCCCUGAAAAAUGUAGUCCGAAGUUGAUGGGGCAAGCUCUUCGAAUUAGCGCCUGCACGUCUCCCUAAACACCCUGGCCAUAGCUGGUUGGAGAGAUUGUUCACAAUUCUCGGACCUGUUGGAUUACCGUAAAAGUAAGAAAUUAGAACCACAUCUGGCAGAAUGGCAUCCUGUCCUCCUUUUCUGGAGGGACAAGGGGCAAAUGAGUAGGUGUGGAUGGCUGACUGUAGGCUGUCUUUCCAGGGGACACAGAAGCAUUUCUCUGCUGCUCUCUCCCCAGGGUGCCCUCAGUCAUUAUUUGUGCCGCCACUUUCCUUCGGCCGGCUGGCCGGCCGGCCGUUCUGUCCCCUGCUUAGAGACCUUAGGGUCCGCACCCUGCUUAGAGACCUUUCAACGUGGAGCCUCGGGGUUUCUGCUGUGCUACACAUGUGACCUCAAGUGGUACCUCUCACUGAUUCUGCCCGGCCUGGUAGGCCCGGUUGUCCCUCUGGUGGUGCCAGCCUAGCCGGUGUGUGGGUUGGCAGGUAAUGGUGUCAUUGGUAUAUUUAUCUUGAUUCUUCAGCCCUUUCCUCUGAGCUUUGGAGAGAGUCUUGCUUCUGGUUUCAGCCCCAUUUCCAGGGGAGCGGGUUGAUGUGUGCAUCCAAACCCCUGUGCACGCCCUGCCGUGUAUGAGAAGCCCAGGGAGUGUGGGAGAGGGAAAUUGCGUUCUUUCCUUAACACAAGACAAUAAACACAAAUGCAGAGGAGACCUGUGCUUUGUCAGCAGAUUAAGUAAGGGAUCAGUGCCAGAUAUAAACCAGUGAAAACCUCUACCAGACCCAUAAAUCCUUGGGGGCGGGGACUGUGUCUUAACUUUGUGCCAGGUUUUCUGCUAAGCAUCUUAAAUGCAAAAUCACAAUUAAUCCUUGCAAGAAAGCCCCCAGGUGGGUUUUACGGCUGAGGAGCCUGAAGUUCAGAGAUUAACUUGCUCCAGGUCUAACAGAAACAAGGGUGAGAUUUGAACCAUGUUCUUCUGAUUCUAGAGCCUGAGUUCUUCACAGCCAUGCUGUACCGUGUCUCCAGGGCCUGGACAUCGUUGGCUCUGGAGUGUUUGAGGAAGCAAACACAUGGUGGGGGGGUGGGGAGAGUAUAAAAGAAGGGAGGAAUGAGGUCAGGAGGAUGGGACGACCUCUGAGGAGAAUGCUGUAGCGGUCGUGGGCCAGCGCCACCGUGGGCGAGGCCCGUGCUGACUGGCGUGGCAAACCGGUCCGUGAAAAGCAGCCAGCCUUUGGCUGUAGACGCGGCUUCCAGAUUCGAACCAUUUGUGGAAACAGAGGUGGAGCCCCACGGACUGCUUCACACUGGCCAAGGCCCUCUGUGGGAGUUGGCAUUUUAAGAGUUUCCAUGGCGGUUACGUGCUCAGGGGGCCCGCGUGAUGUGUCAGGCAGGAGACAGAGGUGAUCUUGGGGCAGAUGAGCAGGUGAGGAUUUGGCCCUGUGUGGUUAGUUUCUCUCGAGUACUCUCUAUCCAACCAGUUGCUAGGUUGGUCACUGCUAAUUGCUUCUAGGGUAACGCUGUUUUCCAUUAAGGCGUCUGAAUGGCUAAGCUGCCAGGGGGGAAUUUCCUUCCUGACCUCCGUGUGCGAGCCUCUGGGCCCUGGAGCAGGUGUUCAGAUACCGAACCAAGCUGGCCUGAGAGCCCGACGUGGUUGCCGGGUUGCAGUGCAAGAGCUUGCUACAGCCUGAGGGCUCUUUCUGGAGCGUUUGCCCUCUUGGGAUUCUCUCCUCUGUAGCCCACGUUGGUGUGGUGAUGCGCCAGGGGGCUGCCGUACCUGGUGCGAAGGAAGAUACAGCUUUUGGGGUAUCUUGGGGUGGGGGGUAAGGGGAUGGUCUGUGAGUUCUGGCGCUGUGACUUCGGGGCCUGCGGAAUCUUCCUCCUCUCCGAGGAGAUGGCAGAGCUUCCAUCCGGGGGUGCAAGAACUGAAAAUCAAACGUGGGCCUUCAGAUGGGAGAGGGGGGGAGGCAGGGUGGAGACGCUUCGGGCUGCAGCAAAGAGCCGUCAGGCAGUGGCUGGCCACCCCCUGUGGCACCGGCAACAGCCGCGGUCCCCUUCUAAAAAGAGUCCCGGUGUCAAAUACUCUCCUCUGUUUUCCAGACACCACGUGUCUGGAUUUCCAAUUCAGAUAAUACAGUCCAGAAUCAUCCGCGCGACGUGGCUGUGCCUCAGCUAAUCAGGUCAGCGGUGGAAGACGAGAGGGAUGAAGAAAUCCGUGGCCUUUCCGUCGGAGCCCCGAUACAUUUUGUUGGUUCGAUGGCAUAAAGGCCUUCUUUCUGCAUCCUUUGUACAUACUUUGUUGAGGCUCUGGUUGCUCAACCCUGCUUUUUAUCUCAUCUAGAUAAAGAAAUACGGCAAUAGGCACAUCAUGGUGGCAGAUCUGGGUUAUGGGCAGGAACUCAGGCCUCUGACCUCAAGUCUGGGCCAGUUUCUAAACCUAUCACUUCUCUGGGGCUUCUUCAUUCUUUGAAAGAUCUCCUCAUGUCAGCAUAUCUCUGAAGUGAUGCCUGGCCCCAGCCUCCUGCCUCUCACCUACUCAGUCUGACCACAGAGGUUUUUUAGUCUUUGCUGCUUCUUGGUUAGCAGAUUGAGUCAGGAAAUGAAGGGGCUGAGUGAGGGAACGAAAAACAAACAGCGACCCACUUGGUUUUUUCCCCUUUCUUCUUAAAACUAUGGAAAAAGGAUUUCCUUUGGGGCCCAGGGAGGGAAAGGGGAACAUGGUAACCCUGGCAUUAUUUGGCCCAACAAUUAGGACGAUACAGAAAGACAAUGGCGGGUGGUUAGUUUAGCGGCACGUUUGUGAGUCUCUCCAAGGGGUCUUCCAGCUUGUCUUAAAAGAAAAU